GCACACUGACGUAAUGCUGUCAUCAAUAAGGACUUUUAUGAUAUCACUUCCUAAUAUUUUCAUAAAUUCUGGUCAUUAUUAUAACAAGACUGGGUUUGAUUUUGUGAUCACUAUGGAUUUGAUAUCAAUAUUGUUAUAAAACAUGUUUGUAAUGGUGUUAGUUAUACAGUGGUAUUGUUUCAGGUAUAAUGCAAAGGAAAACGGAAGAAGACAAACUAGAAGAACUUUGGACUAGGCCACCGUAGACUCCUACGGAGGCCAGAGCCUAAGAUGACGGUCCACUCAGCCAAGCCAUCCACACAACUGCAUCUGUCUGCUAUGUCAGGUCCCAACCAUGUGCUUGGCUCUGAAGAAAGUUUUGGCCGCUUCAUUGUCUCUCUACUGGCCUUGUGACUUGAUUGUGACAUCUUGCUGGGUACUUCCUCUCCUAGAGAUCACCAAACCCAUGGAGGCAAACACUGCUACACGGAGGAGCUGGUAACGCCUGAUUAUCUUCCUCUCCUGGAUUACACCCAAGCAUUAACUACUGUGUCAAAAUUAAGUUUCAAGUUGAAUCAAGUUGAGAGAUUAGUGGUAAGACAAAGAAUAUACAGAUACUUUGAUCAGGUA